rnacentral:rRNA from 1 species
UAAUACGAAGGGACCUAGCGUAGUUCGGAAUUACUGGGCGUAAAGCGCGCGUAGGCCGUUGAGUUAGUUAAUUGUGAAAUCCCAAAGCUUAACUUUGGAACUGCAAUUAAAACUGCUCGACUAGAGUUUGAUAGAGGAAAGCGGAAUACAUAGUGUAGAGGUGAAAUUCGUAGAUAUUAUGUAGAACACCAGUUGCGAAGGCGGCUUUCUGGAUCAACACUGACGCUGAGGCGCGAAAGUAUGGGUAGCAAAGAGGAUUAGAUACCCUCGUAGUCCAUACCAUAAACGAUGAUUGCUAGAUGUUGGAAAUUUAUUUUCAGUAUCGCAGCUAACGCAUUAAGCAAUCCGCCUGGGGAGUACGACCGCAAGGUUAAAACUCAAAUGAAUUGACGGGGACCCGCACAAGCGGUGGAGCAUGUGGUUUAAUUCGAUGAUACGCGAGGAACCUUACCUGGGCUUAAAUGUCGUGCGACAAUUGCUGAAAAGUGAUCUCCCUUCGGGGCGACCGGCAAGGUG